rnacentral:lncRNA from 1 species
AACCACAUAAAUGUAACCCGCGGCCCAAAACACUUCCUUACCCUGUUCGGAGUCAAUGUGAUGUCAUUAAGCUGUGUUAAAUUCUAAGUUUGGGGUAAACCCCAUAAGUAUCAAAAACCAAGGUGAGUACGAAAAAAAAUAAUAAGAAAAACGACCAUCAAAAAUUUGAGAAAACAUGUAGUCGAUGGUUCGAUAGAAGCAUUUAUCGAAGGAAGAGCACUUAGUUGAAAAAAAAGAGAGAAUAUCAAAGAAAAACCGAGCAAUUG